ensembl:snRNA U6 U6 spliceosomal RNA
GUGCUCGCUUCAGCAGCACAUAUACUAAAAUUAGAAUGAUACAGAGAUUAGCACGGCCCCUGCGCAAGGAUGACAUGCAAAUUCAUGAAGUGUUCCAUAUUCUU